GGAGAUGUUCAGCUGUGGAUUCAGACCAUUCCUUACUAGAUUCUUCCCCACCUGUUCUUGUCACCCUCCCAUGCUCACCAGGCUGUGAGCAGAGAGAAUGUGAACAUCUAUUUAAGAAGAAAGGCGUGAGGGAAAGCAUGAAAAAUCCAGGAUAAAAUCAUCAUCAGGGAAACUCCUAUGAUGCUGGAACUGGACAACAGUGUUUUAGAUCCCUAGUCAUGCCCAUUCCUUCCUGUCCUGGAAAAGUUAAAAUAUGAAGUGCCUGUGUUCACUAAAGCAAAACCUUCUGAAAUAGCUUACAUGGAUGGAUUCUUUAGAAUUGGAUGAAACUCUUUGGUUACCCCCAAAUUUCUUGAAACACUCAAAACUUCCAUUAGCUGAGGUGAAGCCUCUAGUGGUUCAGGACUGGGUUCUACAGCAAGGGUUCUUAACUCAGUCCAUGAAUCUUCCCAGGAAGUCUCCACCAACAAAAUUCAGGAAGUUUGUGAAUAUCCUGAAAUUUUAUGAAAAGUGAUUGGCUUGUGUGAACAUGCUGUUUAACUGGGAAGGGAAUCUUUAGCUUUCAGUAAAUGUAUAAGGUCUUACAGUUUGCUCUGAGGGUACUACUGCUCCACAUUUCUCAACUACAAAAUUGAGGUAAUGGAUCCUGAAUCACUUUAGUCACGCAGAGUAGCCUGUCUUUCUGAUCACGAUGAGAAAUUCAAAACUGAGCCC
rnacentral:lncRNA from 10 species